ACUUUUUAAAGGGGCCUUUUCACAGAUUUUGGCAUUUUUUAACUUAUUCAUUAAAUGCUUUAUAUCGAUAAAUGUAAACAUUGGAUCGUAAAAGCUCCAGUAAAAAAUCAAGAAUAAAAUUUAAAAAAGGAAAAGAACAUUGCCCGGACCAGGUUUCGAACCAGUGACCCCUGGAGUCCUGCCAGAGUCCUGAAGUAAAAACGCUUUAGCCUACUGAGCUAUUCCGCCGAUUACACAUACGUGAAGUAUUUUAUACCUUAUAUAAGCAAUCUUCGUAGUUUCACAAAAUUUAACGACAAAAACAGAACUCUCCAAAUUAUUCAAUCGUUUCGCGUUGCAACGCUUUAUAAUUUUUAGGUUUUAAAAUCGUCAAAAGAUGCAUAUAAUGGCUAUAUUAGACCAUGGUAAAUGUUCAGUAUUACUGUUUCCUCACAAAUAUCAUAACUAAAACGAAAAUGUGUGAAUCUGAAACAACUUUUUUCAAUUUUGUCAAUUUACCAAAGCGUGAAAAGAUCCCUUGAAUGGCUAUAGCUAAUAUGAAUAUU